rnacentral:rRNA from 1 species
CAGCAGCCGCGGUAAUACAGAGGAUGCAAGCGUUAAUCGGAAUUACUGGGCGUAAAGCGGGCGCAGACGGUUACUUAAGCAGGAUGUGAAAUCCCCGGGCUCAACCUGGGAACUGCGUUCUGAACUGGGUGACUAGAGUGUGUCAGAGGGAGGUAGAAUUCCACGUGUAGCAGUGAAAUGCGUAGAGAUGUGGAGGAAUACCGAUGGCGAAGGCAGCCUCCUGGGAUAACACUGACGUUCAUGCCCGAAAGCGCGGGUAGCAAACAGGAUUAGAUACCCGAGUAGUCCCUGUCUCUUAUAC